rnacentral:lncRNA from 1 species
UGGAGCUGCAGCUGAAGCCUAUACCACAGCCACAGCCAAACCAGAUCCGAGCCACAUCUGUGACAUAUGGUGCAGCUUGCAGCAAUGCCACCCACUAAGCAAGACCAGAAACAGAAUGUGCAUCCUCACAGACACUAUGUCAGGUUCUUCUGCCACUGAGCCACAACAGGAACUCCACACAUUAACCAUUUCAAAAGGUGCCUAGCACAGAAUAAGCUCUCAAUAAAUGGCAGCUAUUGGUAUCAGUGAUGGCUUCCUACAAUUCAGAUGGUUUCCUUCUGACAUGUUUCCCUUUUAAUUGAAAAUAAAUAAAUAAAAUAUUAGAUGUGAAGGAAGAAUGGUUAAUUUUGUGAAAUGAAUUUUAAAAUAUUAUCUAUAUCAAUAUAUCACAAAGUGUGAUAGCAGUAUUUCUUGAGAAAUCAACUUUAUAAGGAAAUCUAUUGUAUUAGCUAAAUCUGCUAAUGAAAGUAGGAAAACCAAAUGAGAUUAAACUUUUAUUAUUAAAGUGUUUUACAGAAAACAGGCUUUAGCAAAACUUUCAAAAGUGUCAUGUCCUUAGGAUUAGCAUUUAUGGAAAUAUAUAGACAUUUGCAAUUUGGAAAAACAUCUGCAAUAUACAUAUCAUUAAAAAUAAAAAUGUACUCAUUCAACUGCUUUCUGAUGAAAUGCUAACAUGAACUAUUAUAAUCAAUUUCUGAAAGCUUCAGUGUUUAAUAUUCCAUUCAUGGUACUGCUCCUAUUUUCCUCUUUCUCCUUCAUUACUAAUUAAUUUUGGUUUUCUUUCUUAUAUGAGUAUGCAGUGUUCCAAUGGUGAGAUAUUUAUUACCUAUAGGAAAGACAUUUUUUUCAAAAUUCUCCAUUUAUUAUCUGUUUUAUAUGUAUUUACCUCAAUGGAAUAGUUGAGUAAAAAAUUAUAUCAAAUAAUGCAGCCAAAAUAACCAUGGAUAAUGUUUGUUUCCAAAUGAAUGAAAAAGCAAUUGAAAAAGUAACAAUUACUAAAGCAAUUCAUAUUGAAAGUUUUACAGUAUUAUAAUUCUGGAUUAAAUGAAUAUAUACUCUAAAUGCUAUUUGAAAGAAUGUACCCAACAGAGAGAAAAUUACACAGAUUUUUAGAUGCAAAUGUGCAGUUAGGAUGCACCUUUUUCUCAACUGACCUUGAUGUUCAAAUCCUUCUGGGGGUAGAAGGUACUCUAAAGUAUCUACAUGUCUUAUAAUGCAAAUAUGUCAAACUUGACGUUGAAAAGAAGAGCCAAGAACUACUGAGCCAGAUAUUUUCUGAAAAUCGAGGGAGCUAUCAUAUGUAGGCUGCUUGCUAUAAAGGAUUUGCUCCACCAGCCUCCACUGGGGUCCUGUAAUUGCAGCAGAGGGGGCUGGAAACUAGCACAACACACCUCUGCAGAGUCCAGUCACUAUGUGAAAAGCUCAUUUACUUUGAAGACUAAAAGGACUUCUGAGUCAUCAGCAUAAAAGUUAAGGGAGUCUCCACAGAAGAAAAAGUAAAAUCCAAAUAUCAACUGAUGAAUGAUAAAAGACAUCUGGAUGGUAUGCUUUCAGUAUUCAGUAUUGAAAUCUUUGUCGAUAAUGUUUCAACUAGCAGUCUAAAUAAAAAAAUGGUCAGAAAUGACGUAGGGAUUAAAUUCAACCACAGCUCACUGUUGUAUCUCUUCUUGUCUUUUCCAUCCAGUUAUCAGAUCACCCAGUUAUACUAUAGUGCUACCCCAUAAUAUCCUUUCGCUUUUGAGUGAUUAUAUAUAAUUAUGGUUGAUCAGGGAAAAGAUUCAACAUUUAAGUCAACAUAUUUAAUAACAAAGGGUAUCUCAUCUUGGAGUUCCCAUUGUGGCUUAGUGGAAACUAAUGUGACAACAGAUCCCUGACCUUGCUCAGUGGGUUAAGGAUCCAGCAUUGCAGUGAGCUGUGGUAUAGAUCGAAGAUGUGGCUCAGAUCUGGUGUUGCUGUGGCUGUGGUGAAGGCCAGAGGCUACAGCUCCAAUUUGGCCCCUAGCCUGGGAACCUCCAUAUGCUGCAGGUGCAGCCCUAAAAAGACAAAAGACAAACAAAACAAAACAAAAACACAAAAAAAGGCAAUCAUGUAUCAAGAAUAUACUCGGUGCCAGGCAUUUUGUGGCACUAUGUUGGGCACUAAAAGAGGAACAAUAUUUACAACCUUACCUCUACAAGCCUACCAUCUAGUGGAGAAUACAGACUUAGAGUCCAAUUAAGAGGUAAUUUCACAGCUAUACUGAUUGCCAUGAUACUGAUCUAUACAGAGUGUGAUGGGCAACUCUGAGAGGCCAACAGGGGUAGUCAUGAAGGUAGGAAGGAGGAGGGAUUUGAAUUGUUUUCAUUCAAAUGUAGCCAUGGCAAUGCUCUGCCUACACAAUUCUCUUGACUAAUUCCACCUAACAACAACAACAAAUUAGCAUGUGUGAUUAUUUUAAUUAGUUUUUUGGAUGGGCUGGAAAGAACAAAAGUCUACUUUAGUUCUCUCUUUAGCAAAAAUAAAAAUCCUGUGUGUGAACUGGGGUGGGGGAAGGCAGUUAAUUCUAAGGACAUAGGUCCUGAGAAGAUCCAGCAGCCCCAUCCCUCUGGGUCUCUCUGGGCUGUUUGGUCUCUCCUUCACACAGGUCCCCAUUCACCCUGUAUAACUCUCUGUUCUUUUCUUUGUGACUUCUGCUCCCUCAACAUUCAGCCAUGGCUUUCCUGAUUCAGCUCCUCCCACUAACAGUUUUAGUCUCUGCUACACAGAUGAACACAUCUCAAAUUCCGAUGCCAGGUCAGGCGUAGAGGGAUGGGUUAGCUGUUGGUAAGGCAGGAGCCCAUCCAGAUCUAAUCUAACCAAUAUGGAUGAGUCCACUGAGGCGGCUGAGUCCGUCAGUAGGCAGGUUUUUUGGAAGGUGUGUAGGGAGCAAGCAUGUCCUGAACACUGAGAUUUAUCUCCUGAAAGGUUUAAGGAACUUUCUGGCUCUUUCCUGUUUCAGCCUUAGUUGUUAUUAUUUGACUUUUAGAAUCUUGGCUCCUUCCAAUUCUCUCAAAUUUGAUCUAUGACUGUAGAACCUGAUUGUUUUAACUCAAUUCCCAAGUAUCUUUGCCCUCCUGCCUUCUAUGACACAGAUUUAACUUGCUCGUAUAAGAAAGAAAACUUUGACCAUGAUUUUAUUAGUCCUCUGCACUUACUAAGCCUCUUGAGGUUAAACUCUCUGUGGUCAUUUUGGCUAUGAGUCUGUGAU